AUACACCAACGCGUACACUGCAGUUCCCACGCGCCGACCGCAGCUAUCUGACGACUGCUCGCUAGGUUGUGUUAGCC
rnacentral:sRNA from 1 species